UACGUAGGGUGCGAGCGUUAAUCGGAAUUACUGGGCGUAAAGCGUGCGCAGGCGGUGAUGUAAGACAGUUGUGAAAUCCCCGGGCUCAACCUGGGAACUGCAUCUGUGACUGCAUCGCUGGAGUGCGGCAGAGGGGGAUGGAAUUCCGCGUGUAGCAGUGAAAUGCGUAGAUAUGCGGAGGAACACCGAUGGCGAAGGCAAUCCCCUGGGCCUGCACUGACGCUCCAUGCACGAAAGCGUGGGGAGCAAACAGG
rnacentral:rRNA from 1 species